CAAAAGAACAUUCUGCUGGUCCUACUAAACCCACAUAACCAGACAAUAAGAAUAUGAUGGCAUUCUAACUUAAUGAAAAUGAACCAUGUGUAAAAAAGACCAUGUGGAAAGUACUGUGUAGUGAUGAUGAUGUCAGGAAACCACGCCUGACCAAUCUGAUGAGGGAAGAGCAGUAGAUGAUGUCUACCUCAACUUCAGCAAGGCUUUUGACACUGUCUCCCAUAACCUCCCCAUAGGGUUUCAGCAAUAAAUGCUUUUAAUUACCCGGGGAAAGGAGCCAUAAUAAGACAAUCACUACUGGAAGCUUUCAAAGAAGUACCUCACUCAAAGA